rnacentral:rRNA from 1 species
GACGAACGCUGGCGGCGUGCUUAACACAUGCAAGUCGAACGGAAAGGCCUGCAGCUUGCUGCGGGUACUCGAGUGGCGAACGGGUGAGUAACACGUGAGUGAUCUGCCUUGCACUUCGGGAUAAGCUUGGGAAACUGGGUCUAAUACCGGAUAGGACAGCUGUUUAGUGUCAGUUGUGGAAAGUUUUUUCGGUGCAAGAUGAGCUCGCGGCCUAUCAGCUUGUUGGUGGGGUAAUGGCCUACCAAGGCGUCGACGGGUAGCCGGCCUGAGAGGGUGUACGGCCACAUUGGGACUGAGAUACGGCCCAGACUCCUACGGGAGGCAGCAGUGGGGAAUAUUGCACAAUGGGCGGAAGCCUGAUGCAGCGACGCCGCGUGGGGGAUGAAGGCCUUCGGGUUGUAAACUCCUUUCGACAGGGACGAAGCUUUUGUGACGGUACCUGUAUAAGAAGCACCGGCUAACUACGUG